rnacentral:misc_RNA from 1 species
AAAAAGGAAAAAAAAAAUUUGAGUGAACAAUAAUUGAAUCAUUAGUUUCUUCCAAUUUUGGGGGUUACAUGAAUUUCAUGCCAUAUUUGACACUGAAGCAUGAAUGCCCCAAGUCCUGAUAUUCAUGCUUUUACUUUUUCCUUUAUCUUCACCUUGGACCAUAUUGAUUCUUAGCUGGUUCAAGCUAUCUAUUAAAACCAGACAUAUGAUUCUUGACAAUUCUAGUUGUUGCUAUUUCAAAUCUCCUUGUUUAGGAAAUGGUACAAAGCAGUUUACAAACAGUAUACUUUUACAUAAUAACAGCUUUUAUUGCUUUGCAUUAUUUGUUUGCAACUCAUUAACAUUCUAUUUUUGAACAUGCCCAUGUCAUUUGCUUAGUUUGACCAAUAAUUUAAAUUUGGGCAACUUAUCGAAGACUAGAGUUUAGUUAUCCUGUGCGACAUUUUCUGCUUAAAGCAAUUAACUGUAGACACUUCAAUUGGUCUAAGUUUGUGGAUUAGGAGAUUUGCUCAAGGAUUCGUAUGGGUCUGCAUGCACGUGUACAUGUGUGAGAGAUUGUUUCUUAUUGAUUUGAAUGUAAAGUCUAUUGACUUGGAAGCCAUGAUCUGCUGAAGUGAUUCUCUUUCGCUUAAAUGUGAAUUUGUUAAACAGAAUCAAAUGCAGAAAGGAAGGA